rnacentral:rRNA from 1 species
AUUGAACGCUGGCGGCAGGCCUAACACAUGCAAGUCGAGCGGAGCGGCGGACGGGUGAGUAAUGCCUAGGAAUCUGCCUGGUAGUGGGGGAUAACGUCCGGAAACGGGCGCUAAUACCGCAUACUAUCAGAUGAGCCUAGGUCGGAUUAGCUAGUUGGUGGGGUAAAGGCGUACCAAGGCGACGAUCCGUAACUGGUCUGGGAGGAUGAUCAGUCAACCUGGAACUGAGACACGGGCCAGACUCCUACGGGGGGCAGCAGUGGGGAAUAUUGGCAAAUGUGCGAAAGCCUGUGCCACCCAUGCCGGGUGUGUGAAGAAGGUUUUCGGAUUGUAAAGCACUUUAAGUUGGGAGGCGUUACCAACAGAAUAAGCACCGGCUAACUUCGUGCCAGCAGCCGCGGUAUAC